AACGCACCUUGCGCUCCUUGGUAUUCCGAGGAGCAUGCCUGUUUGAGUGUCAUUAAAUUCUCAACUUCAUCAACUUUGUUGUUGAAGCUUGGAUGUGGGGGUCUUGCAGGUCUGCCUUAAUUGUGUGGUCUGCUCCUCUGAAAUAUAUUAGCGGGUUGGCUUCCCUCUAUCAGUGUGAUAAUUAUCUACGCUGUGGAUGGGUUUGGCUUUCAGACCAGCUUCUAAUCGUCCUUCUAGGACAAUCUCUUGACAUUUUUGACCUCAAAUCAGGUAGGACUACCCGCUGAACUUAA
rnacentral:misc_RNA from 1 species